rnacentral:lncRNA from 1 species
UUUGAUCGAUUUUUAAUUCAUGACUUUUUCCAUUUGAAUUCUCAUUCUAUCCGGUUAAUUUGUAGUUUAAAACACAUCAAACACCGAAGAAUGGUUGCGGCCCUUAAAUUCCCAAAACUGAAUAUAUUCAUGCUUUCAAACACAGUUUCAACUUUCAUAUUUUGAAAUCUGAUUUCAUAUCCUCCUCUGUUUCUCUCCAAACUUCUUUAACGUAGUUGUCAACCUUCUUGUGAUGAUGAUUCCAUGGAUAUGGAUAAUGGAUCUAGAUCUAGAUCGAGAUACAAAGUAAAAUUCAAUUACCAUGUUUAUUUCCCAAAUUUUUGUUAUUGCAGGGUCUAUAGUAUGGGAUGCCACAAAAAGCAACAUACCGGAAAACCCCACCAUUUAUCCUUUAUUUCGUAGCUCUAACUUCAGGUAUUGUUUCUGUUUUGUCUUAAAAGUAAAAAAUGUCAUCAUUUGACUUUGAUAUCUUUCUCUUUGCUUUUGAAUUUUCAUGUAUAAGAUUUAUAACCAUUUGACCUUGAUUUAGUUGGCUGGUGAUGUUGUUGAAGUAAGAGGCCUUGAUGUACCAUUCCACCCAUGAAGCGAGGUUAGAGAAUAAAUUUCUUCAACAACUAGAGACUAAUGUUUUAUUAUAUUUUUUAUUUGUUUUAGUGAGCUUUUGUUAUCCAAGAACUCAAGUUAGUCAUCCAAAAAAGGGCUGCAUUUUCAUUUAUCCAGGAACUCAAUAUAGUGAUCCAUACCAGUUUUACUGAUCCACUGUCUGAAGAAGUAAAACAUAUUUGGAAUUGAGGUUUCUAACUAUUGAUUGUGCUUUUUCUAAUUGUUUUUUUAAUUGAUGCACACAACACAUUUCAAUACGAGUUUGGUUCUUACCUUUAAAGUUCUUGUGUUUUUUAAAGGCAUUUAUAGGAACGCCAAGUGCUCAAUGAAAUUACUCAAUGGGCAUCUAACUUGGAAGAAGCAAAAAAUAUGUUAUUUUUUUUACUAAAAUGCUUUGUGUUUUCAGUUGAAAGGGCAUUUUGAAUUGUUUACUAUGUAUAUUUACAAAAUAAAUAAAUAAAUAAAAUAAUUUAAAUUAAAUUAAAUCUAAGCAUUUAUUAUUUGACCAUUUUCGAUCUGCUCCAUUUUGACUUUUAAGAUAACUCAUAUUCCAUGAUUUAUGAAUUAAGAUCCAAUAUCGUAUCUCCAAUGUGGCUGAAUAUGCAUUAUGUUGUUUAUUUCUUAUUCUUUUGUUAAUGAUAUGACGUUUUUGCUCUUAAUGGAUGACAUUGUUGUAUCAAUUGUUGUUGUUAAAAGAAUCGGUCGAAGUCGAGAAGGUUGCGGUCUUCCCAAGCUAUCGUAGAUGAUGAAGUCAGUGUGACUACUAUUGCUAUUGGAACUUUUGGCUUCCUGGCACCAUGUUUCUUUCUUUCUAUACUUAGAGUAAGAUGUUAUAAUAAAAAAAUAUGAUGUUGUUAACACUUUUGAGUUGUUGAAUAUAUGAAAUUGAGUGAUUGCAAAGCAUCAUUAACAAUGUGAUAUCGUGUGUAUAGCUUUGGGGUUUUGUUGUUAAAUGUGUAAUGGGAAAGAGACCAACUGUCACACCCCCGAACCAGACGGCGGUAACGUCCGGGGGCUGUUGUGACUCAAUUGAAUACCAUCACAAUGAAUAUACAUGAAACAUAACAUCAUUCAUCACCAAACAUUGGAAUAUUACAACUGAUGGUGUUUACAUUCAUUACAUUGUUCCAUAAUAUUACAUGUCCAAAAGUAAAUUGUUCGAUACUAAUUAAAUAACAGCAAAACAUCAUAGAGUACAAUUCUUCCUUCACUUUAUCUGUUACCUGAGAAUACAAGUAUUUUGAAAAACGUCAACAUAUGAAAUGUUGGUGAGUUCAUAAGUAAUGUUUGAAAUCCAAUGUUUUGUAUUGCUUUGAAAACCACCAGAAAAUCCGAUAUUUUCUGAAAAUAGUAUAGUGUAAAAGGUGUGAAGAUCCAUAAGUAUGCUUGUUUGUUUCCAUAAAUGUAAGAGUACGAUUUGUAAAAAUCGGUAUGUAGUUUGUAGGUGUAUUAAUUGAAAAACCUAGGAAAACCUGACGUUUUCCUAUCACUUUGCUUUAAUUAGUUUAUGUUUUGUAAUAUCGUUGCGACAGGUGUAUUCGUUGAGCUCCGGAGACGUUGGAUUAAUUGUGGAUUGUGAAUUGUUGUAAACGUACAUUAAUGAAAACGACCAGUUGACAACCGUACAAACGAUCCCUUAGGCAUCGCUCGCACUAUUCACUUAACCCAACCACCCGGACUCAUGUAGCCCCACAACCGAGGGGAAAAAGAGGGUGCGAAGCCCCGGUAUUUCCCUACGUCGUUCAAGGCUAUCGUGAAUGCGAAGGGCCCUUAGCCCGACUCGCAUUGGUGAAUUCUCGACUUCGCUAGCAGUACCGAAGGACCCUUGGGGACCAGCAGCACGUUUGCCAUUGAAAGUCCUUUUACACGGAAUUAAGUCGUAUUAGACCCAACUACAUGUAAGCAAAUUUCCUUCGGGCCUAAAGAUCAUGUCAUUGGGCUAGCUAGGCCCAACAAGCAUGAUUUGAAACUUUUGGGUCCAAGGAUGGUGUAUCGACGUCUGGUGUAUUCCCGCGUGUGUAUUGAGUUUCCGAGAUUUCCAUGUGUGUAUUGAAGUAUCAUCGCGUUAGUAGUUUCAGGUUUGUUAUUGAUUCGAGACCGAAUCAAUUCGUUUGAUAACGAUUUUUGGUGUUGAUGGUGAAUUGUGUUUCGCCGAUAGUCGAGGUACUAGUAUUUCAUCGUGUCGGGUUCAUUGUUUAAGACAUUAGUCUUUUACAUUUUUCAGACCCUUCUUUUUGGAUGAAUUUACACUUUUGGACCCCUUAUAUAUAAUAAUUUAUAUUUUAGUCCUUAAGCCAUUUUUCUUGACAAUUUAGUAUCAAAACUUGUAGAAAAGUAUUUUUCAGCUCAAAGCUUAUUGAAAAACAGUUUUAGUCCCUCAAAAUGAAACUUUUUCGGCUGGAACCCUCAAUUUCGCAAAUUUUACACUUUUGGCCCAAAAUAGAAAAUCUUUGCAUCCUUGGUUCCUUUUGAAUAUGAAAAGCAUUUUUAACCUUUGAAAUGGACUUGGGGCACUAGUAGUCCCCUGUUUUACAGAAAAAUGCAUUUUCAGCCCCUCAACUUUGAAAUUUCGCAUAUUGGGCCUUAUUGGGCCGAAAAGUUCAUUUUUAGCCCAUUAAGCUUAAAAAUUUACAUUUUAAUCAUUACAAAGUGUAAAUUUUUGGAAAAUCCCUUUAUGAAUCUGUUUUGACACAUAUCAACCUUCAGAAUUUGUAUUUUUACAUUUUGAGCCCUUAAAAUUCAUAUUUUUAGCAUUUUUAGUCCAAAAAUGUGAUUUUUAGCCCAAGAUGUUCAUCUAAACUACUUGGUUAUUUUUCUAGUAGUGACUUAUGUAUAAUGAUAUGUUUUAGCACUUGUUUCAUGCAUCAUAAUGCAAAUCUCGAUUUUUAGGUCCUUUUGACUAGUUUCAACACCAUAAACACAUAAAAGUAUGUAAAUAAACAUAGAAAUCAUACAAGGCAUACACAUAAUGAAAGAUCUACACAUUUGCUUGUAUUCCCCCCACAAAACUUAUAAAAACCGAAAAUAAGGGGGUAUGAAGCUCACCUUGGGUGUGGUUUCGGUUUUGGAGAAAAGAUGGAAGAAAAAUGAGGUGAUUUUCGGCCUUAGCACACUUUGAUGAAGAUCUCGGCCUUGAGGUGGUUCUAGGAUGCAAGAUCGUGAUUUCUUAUGAGUUAAGAGGAGAUGUUUGAUAGAUCAAAGAAUCUAGGUCAUAGUUUUAAGUAUAACCUUACCUUGGAUGGUGAUUUUUUUUGUGGAAAACCUCCUUGAAUGCCCUUGAAUCUUCAAAAUUUAGUGAAGAGAGUGGAGGUGUUUUUGGAGAGUGUUGAUAUGUGAAAGGUGAUGAAAAUGUGUGUGUGUGUGUUGGAAUCGGCCGAGACAAGAAGAAAGAGGAGAGAAAUAGUUGAGUUGAGAUACAUAGAUGCAUGUUGGUCCAUGCAUGGAAAUAUGUGGGACAUAAGUGAGGUGGCAUGAAGAAGUCAACCCCCUUUCUUCUUGGAUUUGGGCCUUGGGCCGAGAAUUUGGAAAGGAAAAAGGUUUUUGGGCUUUAUUUCCCCUAAGCCCAUAUAGAAGUUAAGUUGGAUGAUUUUUAGUCCCAAAAUAAAUAUAAUAUGAUUUUUACACUUUGUUGGGCUAGUUUAGGUUAAUCAUGGUUCAUAAUUUUUAAUUUAUUUCAUUCUAGGCCCAAUAUGGCCCAAAAUGUUGAAAUAAAUGGAUAUGGGUCCAAUUAGAGCCCAUUUGAAGGUUCUAAUCCCAUGAUAGUCAAAUUGGAGGCUUAUUGGCCCAAUGAGUCCAAUAAGGAAGUCCUAGUCCAAAAUGAACCUAACCAGAACUUCUAGGGUUUCCAAUUGCUUAUUGACCAUUUGUAGCACUUGUAUGGUGUAUUUGUUUGAAAAUUAGAUGUCAUAGAGUAAGCAUCAUACCUGCUCUUUAAGUUUUUGAUUCUUCAUUAUACUUGAGUGUAGAGAUUACAUGACACAAAAUUUCUAGUUGUGACACCAACAUAUCCAGCUUUCAUGAAAUGGGGCUAGAAUGUUAUUGGUUGGGUAUGCAUUUCUGUUUAUUAUCUGAAGUGUUGGACAAAUUGCUAAUUUCUUUAUUUCAUUUUGCAAUUUUGAAUGGUAGUUUUGGUUUUAUUGGUAACCCCAGGCAGGUUCAUGAAUUUUAAUAUUUCUUUUUUGUUUUAUUGUAGGUUAUCGAUAAACCUUGGGUGCCCUACCCUUCCAUGGCUUCUGAUUGUUUUCAAGCUUUUGCUAUGGAUCCCAUGCAAGCAAUAG